rnacentral:rRNA from 1 species
UACGUAGGGGGCAAGCGUUGUCCGGAAUCAUUGGGCGUAAAGCGCGUGUAGGCGGUCCGGUAAGUCGGCUGUGAAAGUCCAGGGCUCAACCCUGGGAUGCCGGUCGAUACUGCCGGACUAGAGUUCGGAAGAGGCGAGUGGAAUUCCCGGUGUAGCGGUGAAAUGCGCAGAUAUCGGGAGGAACACCAAUGGCGAAGGCAGCUCGCUGGGACGUUACUGACGCUGAGACGCGAAAGCGUGGGGAGCGAACAGG